UGAGGUGUCCCCAACAAUUUUAUUAUAAAUAAAAACAAGACUCCCAGUGGGUGGCUGCAGCCCCUGCCUCGGUGGCUGUGAGCACCUGUUGGAGGGGCCUGCCCUUACCCUGGUCUGGAGGCCAGAACCGAGGAAAGGGCUCCCUGCCCCGCCAAGUACACAGGGGAGCCUGAGGUACCGAGAAUAAAAACCAGGGAGGGACUCCCAGGCCAGGCGGUUGGAGGUGAGGUCCAGGCGGGAGAGCUGACCGAGCUGGGCGAAGGCGCCUGGGGGCAGUGCGUCAAUAAGGUUAUGGUCCAGGUUGAGGGUGUGCAGGGCAGGCAUGGCGCCGAUGCCGGCCCAGGGCACCUGCCGGAGGUUGUUGUAGGACAGGUCCAGGUCCUCCAGGCUCUCUAGGAAGUCGUCGAAGGCUCCCGGCGCGAUGCGGCCCAGCUGGUUGCCGCUGAGGAUGAGGUGCUGCAGGUUGACGGGGCCCCGAAGGCUCCCGGUGCCCAGCUCCACCAGCCUGUUGCCGUCAAGGUGGAGGGAACGCAGGCUCUCGAGGUCCCCAAAGGCGCGGGCCCCAAUGCGGGUGAUGGCAUUGCGAGACAGUGUCAGGUCCACCAGUCCCGUCAUGUUGCGGAAGUCAGGGGGCCCCAGGGCCUGGAUGAAGUUGUCAGCCAGCCGCAGCUCCACUGUGCGCCGGUC
rnacentral:sRNA from 1 species